AAGUAGCCGCCGGGUGAACGGAUAUUAUUGAUGUUAAUAAAUAAAAAACUUUUGGUUUUGCUGCUUU
rnacentral:tRNA from 1 species